CUUCAGCUGAAUCAUCUCCAGAGAGAGUGCUUUGGACAGCUUCCAGUUAGACAUGGAUCUCCUGUGAAGAGAAUAUUCCUAUUGGAUGAGAGAAAAAGAAAAGGUUAGAGUCAGUGGAGAUGAACAGAAAAAAAUGCAUGUGGAAUACUGAAUUUCAGCCAUGGAGACUGAGGACAUGAAGAGAAGAGGGAGCAAGACAACAACACAUGGGUGGGCUAAAUAAUCCUGGUGAUCUGCAACUGAGUCAACAGUCUAGAAAAAGAAUAAAUAAUU